rnacentral:rRNA from 1 species
CAGUAGCCGCGGUAAUACGUAGGGUGCAAGCGUUAAUCGGAAUUACUGGGCGUAAAGCGUGCGCAGGCGGUUCGGAAAGAAAGAUGUGAAAUCCCAGGGCUCAACCUCGGAACUGCAUUUUUAACUACCGGACUAGAGUAUGUCAGAGGGAGGUGGAAUUCCACGUGUAGCAGUGAAAUGCGUAGAUAUGUGGAGGAACACCGAUGGCGAAGGCAGCCUCCUGGGAUAAUACUGACGCUCAUGCACGAGAGCGUGGGGAGCAAACAGGAUUAGAUACCCCAGUAGUCCCUGUCUCUUAUAC